rnacentral:rRNA from 1 species
UACGUAGGGCGCAAGCGUUGUCCGGAAUUAUUGGGCGUAAAGAGCUCGUAGGCGGUCUGUCACGUCUGCCGUGAAAACCCGAGGCUUAACCUCGUGGCUUGCGGUGGAUACGGGCAGACUAGAGGUAGGUAGGGGAGAACGGAAUUCCCGGUGUAGCGGUGAAAUGCGCAGAUAUCGGGAGGAACACCGAUGGCGAAGGCGUCAGCUG